UCCUACUGCGCCGGAUGAGACUUUUCCUAGUCCCUGAGACCCUAACUUGUGAGGCUUUUCAGCGACAACCACAGGUCAGGCUCUUGGGACCUAGGCGGAGGGGAACAGCAGCUUGGGACUCC
rnacentral:pre_miRNA from 15 species